UCUAUGUGUUUUACAAAUCGGCAUAUGCGUUCCUAAAACUGUAAUGCGUUAGUCAAAAUGGUCCCUCUGUUACCUUCUGUUGUUAGAGGUUAUGUCGUGACUCUUUGAAUGGACAUGUGACCUUUAACAGGGAUCACACAUCAAUAGAAACUUAUGUGGCACAUUAAAUUCAUCCAUUUCACGCCAAUUGUGAGUUUAAAUCCUCAGGAUUCAAAAACAUAAAAUAAUAUUUACCACAUAAAUUUUAUGUACAGUUUAGUCUCUCUUGAUGUAGAAUUGAUUUUGGAUCCACGUGGAAGGCACAUGUUUAUUUAAUGUGUCACAUCAUAAUCUAUAACCGCAGAAGAUAAUGGAUAGACUGUUUUGUCUCACAAGUUACAAUUUAAGAGAUGUAUUAUCCAAAUUCAUGGACUAUUUUUGAGUUUUGAGAGAUACUCACAAUUUCGAGGAUCAAUUUACCUAUUAAUUUUUACUUUUAUUGUUUAUAAAGUUGUUGAUUGUUUUAUGAUUAAACUGAUUAACCAUUUUAUAUUUAACUAGAUGAGGUUGAUUUUGAUGUAAAAAAUAAAUGAUUCAAAGUUAUUUUUUGAAAGAAUUAGACAACUGGUAUUAUUUUAACUGUUAUGUGAGGGACUUGCCUGAGGAAAAUAUGAACACAUGAAUGGUUCUCAUAGAUGUGAGAGGAUACAAGUUGACUUAAUGUAAUAAAAAAGAUAAGGAAGGGAGAAAAAGUUAAAUGUGAUAAACUUAUUAAUUUUGUAACUAGUCAGUACUAAAUAAAAUUGACUAUUUCUUAAUUUUUUUUAUUUUUUUUUACUAUUAGACUGAGAUCAAAGGGCCAACAUGAACUACUUUGCACAGAUAAUCCAAAAUAUCAUAGAUGGUAGAUCUCCUUCUUACAUUACAUGUUUGUAUUGCAUCAUAUCUAAUGGUAAAGUACACCUUAGUAAGCCUACACCAUACACACUAAAUCCUUUUCCACCCCUUGUUGUCACAUUGCCCAACACCGAAAAUCUUAAACUAUUGUGUGUCUUCCACUUGGGUGUCAUUGACCUAUGGUGUCAUAGAUCUUUGGUAUUUGUUCAUAUAUCUCUUAAUCAAUCAUUCUUUUUUAUCGAAAAUACUCUAAAGACAAAUCGUUCAAAAUCGCUACGAUAGUUGGUUUCAGCUCUGAAGAAAAUUGAAUUUGACAUGUUUCGUAAUUAAUUGAAUUAAAAGUUUUUGAUUCUAAAAUUAAACUUAAAUUCAACUCACACACUUAAUCAGUUAAUCUUCAUGAUACUUUUAGCUAGAAUCAAUUUUAUUCAAUCAAUUCAUUCAAAAUCAUAUUUUGUCACCGGAGAACCAAACGCACGAUAUCAUCUUGGAAGACAAUGUAUCAACGAAACUGAAGAUUGUGUUGCAUUUCUUCUAAAUUGCAUUUCAUUUACAUUUACUUAUUAUCAUACCAUUGUAAUUUUGUAUAUUAACUUAGAGAUGCUACCAAGGAUGGUUGAAGAUGCUUUCAAGGCUGAAUAUUUAGCUUUUGUGAAAGGAAGUUUCUAAGGUUGGUUGAAGAAGCGGGAAAUUUUAACAAGAUAAAACGACCACUUUUUUGUUUUUUAAAUUCAUGGCCUUUGAUUUAUAAUAUAUAAGGAGCAUAGGACUGAGAUUGAUCAACAUUAUUUGAUCAUUUAAUUCUUUCUUACAAGAGAGUAUUCGUUCUCAUGUGAUAAAAUACUCGAGACAAUUGAUUCUUAGAUGGAGAAUUUCCAUAUAAUGUUUUUCCUCAAAUUUGUAGUUUAUGGUAUGUUACAGUGUCAAUGUUGUGCUUUGUCAUGGUACUCUUUGUCUGUUUGUGCAGUUAAUUGAAUCUGUAAUAAGAAGGGAAUAUACUGUUUGAUUACCUAUGAUUUUUUAUUUUUAUUUGGUCAAACUAUAAGUUCUACUUUAUGAUGGUAUUGAAACUCUAAUCUCCAAAGACGGUAACUUCACUUUUGGAUUCUUUAGCCCUAAAAAUUCUACAAACCGCUACGUUGGAAUUUGGUGGAAGUCUCAAUCUACAAUCAUAUGGGUGGCAAACAGAAACCAACCACUGAAUGACUCUAAUGGGAUUGUCACGAUAUCUGAAGAUGGAAAUCUUGUGGUAUUAAAUGGACAGAAACGAGUCAUUUGGUCAUCAAAUGUUUCCAACAUAGCAACAAAUACAAGUUCUUGCUUUUCGGGUUUCGGUAACCUUGUGCUUCUGGAGAACACAACCGGAAAAAACUUAUGGCAGAGUAUUCUGCAGCCUUCAGAUACAUUCCUUCCAGGAAUGAAAAUUUCAAACAACAAAAGAACCGGUAAGAAUGAAAAACUCACAUCAUGGAAAAGCCCUUCUGACCCCUCUGUUGGCAACUUCUCUGCUAGUACUGUUGAACGCCUAAGUAUACUUGAAGUGUUUAUUUGGAAUGGAACUCGGCCAUUUUGGCGCAGUGGUCCUUGGAAUGGCAGGGUCUUUACAGGGAUACAAAAAAUGGAAUUUGUAUAUACUAAUACUUUUCAAGGUGGAGAUGAUGGAGAAGGAAAUAAUGUUAUAUUUUAUACGCAACCAAAUGACACGGAAAUAAGGAUCUAUCACCUGAAUUCAAAAGGAAUAUUUGAAAAAAUGUGGUGGGAUGAUCAGAAUAAAGAAAUGAAAGUGAGAUGGAAAAGCCAAAACGCAGAAUGUGAUGUUUAUGGUCUAUGUGGAGAUUUUACAAGCUGUAAUUCAUUGAGCUCACCAGUUUGCAGUUGUUUGAAAGGAUUUGAACCCAGAAAUACUCGUGAAUGGAGUAGAAACAACUGGACUGGCGGGUGUGUUAGGCAGAGACCUUUGCUGUGUAAAAGGGUCACCAAUAAAACCACAAGUAGAAAGGAAGAUGGGUUUCUGAAACUACAGAUGGUUAAAGUUCCAGAUUUUGCUGAAGGUUUAGCAGUUACACCUGACACAUGCAGAAUCUUAUGUUUAGAGAAUUGCUCUUGUGUUGCGUAUUCUCAUCAUGAUGUGAUUGGCUGUAUGUCUUGGACCGGCAAUCUACUUGACAUAGAACAAUUCGAAAUUGGAGGACUUGACCUAUAUGUUCGCGUAUCCUAUUUAGAACUUGGUAUUCUCCUGUUUGUAAAAGCAUUUUAAACAUAUAUAGGUCAUUAACUUGACUCUGCCUUAGGAGUUGAGAAAUAAGAACUGAAUUGAAUUUCUCAUAUUUUAAAUUUUUCAUAUACACAGAUAGGAGAAAUAAGACAAUCUUCAUCGCAAGUACAGGGAUAAUUGCAACUCUUAUUAUUAUCAUUUGCGCAUAUACCACAUGGAGAAGGAUAUCAAACCACUCAGGUAACUUACUAUUUUCAUAUAUUCAACUUUAGUCAUAAAAUUUACCUUCUAUUGAUGAGGAACUAAGCUCAAGUUAUGCAUUUCACUGCAGCUAAUUCUAGUGACAACAUAAUUGGAGAAAUGUCGCAAGAUAAACUACAAGAGCUAUUAAAAUUUGAUUUUGAAAAAGUUGCAACUGCCACAAACAACUUUGACCUGUCAAACAAACUUGGACAGGGUGGUUUUGGUCCCGUAUACAAGGUGCCUUAAAUGCUAAAUAGUUAUGAUAUUUUAAAACCAUUGUGUAUAGUUGUUAUCACAUAAUAAUAAUUUCUUCUAGGGGAAACUGCAAGAUGGUCGAGACAUAGCAGUUAAAAGGCUUUCUAGAGCAUCUGGACAAGGGUUGGAGGAAUUCAUGAACGAAGUAUUGGUGAUUUGUAAGCUUCAACAUCGCAACCUUGUAAGGCUUAUUGGCUGUUGUGUUGAAGGUGAUGAAAAGAUGUUGAUGUAUGAAUACAUGCCAAACAAAAGUUUGGAUGCAUUUAUCUUUGGUUAGUUUUUUAGUCCCCUUUAGCAUUUUCAUAUAUUAAAUUCCCUGUCCUCGUGAGCUUAGCUCAGUUGGUAUGGACAAUGCAUAAUAAUAUGCAAGGUCCGGGGUUUGAACCCCGGACACCACCAAAAAAAUAUAUUAAAUUCCAUACUUUCGUGCUUCUCUUUAUUUUAGUUUUCCUGGAAGCAUGCUAAUAGAGUAAUUUUGAUGGCUUCCCUGUAUAUUUUGUUAAUCUAUUCUAAAUAAUAUAAUGCUACCCUUAUUUUUUAGAUCCAUCAAAAAACAAACUCCUGGAUUGGAGGACACGGUGUAACAUCAUAGAAGGAAUUGCUCGAGGGUUGCUAUAUCUUCACAGAGAUUCUAGGCUAAGAAUUAUUCAUAGAGAUUUGAAGGCAAGUAAUGUCCUGUUAGAUGAGGAGUUGAAUCCAAAAAUAUCAGACUUUGGUCUGGCUAGAAUAUUUGGAGGAGGUGAAGAUCAGGCCAAUACUAGAAGGAUUGUCGGAACUUAGUAAGAAGAUUGCCUUUCUUAUCCAAUAUAUUAGUAGUAAUAAUUGUCAAGUAUUAUUUUGCAACUUGAUUAACUUUUUACAUUUUAAUGUAGUGGCUACAUGUCUCCUGAAUAUGCAAUGCAAGGAUUAUUUUCAGAGAAAUCAGAUGUUUUUAGCUUUGGUGUAUUGCUACUAGAGAUUGUUAUCGGAAGAAGAAACUCAAGUUUUUAUGAUGAUGAGCAUAAUCUUAGCCUUUUAGGAUAUGUAAGCCUCAACAUACCAUUUUUAGCUCAAUUUUGGCAUGUUUUUCUUUUGUUGACACAUUAUUCAAAUGUCUGAUUAUUUCUUUCCAUUUUUCUUUUAUCUCAUUUAGGUAUGGACACAAUGGAGUGAAGACAAUAUUUUGUCUCUAAUAGAUCAAGAAAUAUAUGAUCAUAGUCAUCAUAAUUAUAUUUCAAGGUGCAUACAUAUAGGACUAUUGUGUGCACAAGAACUUGCCAAAGAUAGGCCCACUAUGGCUGCAGUAAUUUCUAUGCUUAACAGUGAAACUUCAUUACUUCCUCCUCCUAGUAAACCUGCAUUCAUCCUGAGGGAGAAUAUGUUAAAUUCAAAGUUAGCUGAAGAAUGUCAAAAUGGUUGUUCCGUCAAUAAUGUCAGUAUUACAGACAUCAGUGGCAGAUAGCACACAAAGUGGUCAUCAUAAUCUGGUUCAGCAUUUGACGUCUAAAGUUUCCUCCAAAAAUAAAAAAAUUAGUCUAGCCAAUAUAAAGGGAAUAAUAUUUUUAGCACAACACCUCGACUCUCGACAGAUUCUUUGGGUCAGCCCUUGACACCAGUAGCGGCUGACCUUCAGGCUAGUGGUUCGAUAUCUAUCCUUACUCAUCUUCGUAGCAACACCCUUAGCUCAGGCGCCUCCAAUGCAACAUUGAUGCCACUUUUUCAGGUCAGUUGAACUGUGCAUGUAGUGGCAUGUGCUUACGCGACGGAGACUGUGCUUUUGUUUUGGCUAGACCUAUGUGCUUUACUCGUUUGUGUUCUGUGGACGUCAGUGAAGCAUUGAGAUUAUUCCAUGCUUUAGAAUGACUUAGUGAUAUGGAGUUUGAUUGCGUGGAGUUCGUGCUCGACUCCAAAAUAACUACGUAUGGUUUGGCAAUAUUAUCUUACUUUGCUUCAAGGAAUAUUUUUGCUUCUCACUUCACAAACUCUCGGGUGGAGUUAAAUAGGAGAUAAGCGAAUACGGUUGCUCACGCCCUUGCAGCACAUUAUCUGCUACUCCCACGACUUAUUUUGAAAUACCCUCGUGUUUUGAUACUCUUACUAUUUAUGAAAUGGUAUAAGCAUAUUUCUUCAAAAAACCAUAUAACAUUCUUAUAGGAAUUUAUUAUAGUUGCAAUGUUGUUGUUGUCGUUGUAAAAUAUAAGUAUAAUUUAUAUGAAAGUGCAAAAUAUCUAUACCUAUAAUUUUAAUCAAAAUCAAAAACAAUUUUAAUCAAAAUUCCAUAAAAAAUAUUAUUUGUAAUUUAUACGCAUUAACGAAAUAAAAAGAGCAGACAUACUAGCAUAGAGUGUGUCCGUCCGAACGCUGACUUUAUAUAUUUUUAGGAUUAAAUACAUUUUUCGUCUGUAUAAAUAUUCAAACUUUUUGUUUUAAUUUUUAUUAAAAAUUUCUUAUUCUUUUAGUCCUACAAAAUUUAUUCGUCAACUCUUCAAAUUUUUCAAUGAAUUUUUGCAUAUAUAUAUUCUUAAUGAGUGAAUAGGCUAUUUUGUCUUCAAAUUUGUUCGCAUUGAUCAUUUUUAUCCUCAAAUUUUUUGAAAUAGACAAUACGUCCUUGAAUGAGCCAUCUUCUCAUCCUAAAAAUAAAUUUUUUACUUUAGCGAUUCUCUUUUAAAUAGAUUUAUUUCCUAGUGAUUAUGUUUUAAUUCAAUAAGAUCGUUUCUUUACAUUUUAAGAAGUUUCAUUUUGAUCAAUAAGAUAUCUAUUCAAUAAAUCAAUUUCUGAUAUUAACCUAAGCUUAUUAUUUGAUCAAGGAUUAUCCAGAAAUUGAUUCGAAAUUUCCGGAAGAAUUAGGAGAUACUUGGAAUUUUCUUGAUCAUUAAAGAAAUUCUAACAAUGUAACUUUUAAUAGAGAUUAUGUGUAUCCUCUCCUCAUAAAAGGUUGGAAUACAAUAAAAGAAUUUUACAAAGGUCAAAAAGAAAUUUUGGCUAAAGGAUAUAUAUAGUCUCUAUUAAAAGUUACAUUAUGAGAAUUUCCCGAAUGAUCAAGGAAAUUCAAAGUAUCUCCUAAUUCUUCUUCAAAUUUUUUCAGAAAUUUCGAAUCAAUUUCAACAUAAUCCUUGAUCAAAUAAUAAGCUUAGGUUAAUAUCAGAAAUUGAUUUAUUGAAUCAAAUGUCUUAUUGAUCAAAAUUUCAAAAUGAAACUUCUUAAAAUGUUAAGAAACAAUCUUAGAGUUAAAACAUAAUCACUAAGAAAUAAACCUAAUUAAGAGAGAAUCACUAAACAAUAAAAGUAAAAAUUAUAUUUUUAGGAUGAGAAAAUUAUAUGAAAUUGUAAACAAGAAGAUUGCAUGUGAUCUAUGAUGUUACUAAUCAAAAGAGAAUCACCAAACAACAAAAGGCAAAAGAAUCUACUGGCCUUCUGAUGACAAUUCUGUUUGCAGCCAUGGUAGAGCAAUCGUUUUUAGUUUCUGUAUAUAAUGAAAGAAGGUAAUGAGGACUUUGUAUAUAACCUUCUUAUUUAUAGUAAGACAUAUACAUCUAAUUUUUUUUUUUUUUUAAAUAGCCUUAAUAGAGGAAAUAAAAGAAAUUUUCAAAUGUAUGAGAUUCCUUUUUUAUUGAAAACCGAUUUCAAUAGUGAGAUUCUUGACUGACUUUACUGUGCUUGUGUCUUUGAAUGGUGGUUUUCAACAGUGUGAUUACAUGCAUUGGCUUGUUAAAAAUAUGGUGGAUUGAAACUGAGUGAAUAUGUGAUCAGGCCGUUUAUGAGAUUUUGGUGGCCUAUGGUGAACCUAUAAUUUAGGUCAUAACUAAUAAACAUAUAUAAACAUCAAAUUUGAUAUAAAAAAUAAAGCAAUUUUUUUUAAGAUCUAAUAGACCCCUAAAAAAAAUUUAAGAUCCAAAUUUCGUAUUUAAGAUUUAGGAUAGUCGCCCUCUUCGUGCCUUAUGUAUGGUCCUAAAUGUGACUUUGAAUCUUUGUGUAGUAUGGCAGUAUGCAUUGGCUUGAUACAUGUGACUUUGAAUUCACUUACACAAACCGAGUGAAUUUUCUUAACAAAUUUAGUUCACUUACAUGCAUUGGCUUGAUACAACACUGCAUGAUAUUGUGUGAGAUAAGAUUAAACUCUCUAAUAACGCGGCCGAAUCUUUUAUCCUUGACAACUUUUAAGUUUUUAAUUUUUCAUCUCGAUUUACCUUAUUCUUAAUAUAGUUUUUGGGUUUAGUCGGUGUUUUUUAUUUGUAAUUUCUUUGUUUUUUUUUUUCUUUCUUUCGUACUGGUUUCCAACCUAUCAAUGGUGGACGACUAAUCCGACCCGUACGUAGAGACAUGUGUACUGCCCAAGCGUUGUUCCCCAUGAGAAUCGAACCUGGUAUUCCCAAGUACAUCCUUGGAAGGAGCUUCUUGCCACUAGAUUCCAAACAACUUGGCUGUAAAUUAAUCUAAUAUGGCUAUGCUUCUCAAGAAAUCUCCGUCUUGAAAAUGUUUCAGUAAACUUGGGCAUGUACUUUGAACAAUUGCAUCAAUGGGAUUUGUGAAAUCGGUUAUUAAAUGUACUUCCGGGAUCUCAAUACCACCGUAAGCAUCAUUUGCUUCACCUAUUGUUCGUGUCAUUCGAAAAAGAUAAGAAUUUAUUAUACUUGCAAUGUUGUUGUUGUUGUCAUUGUAAAAUAUAAGUAUAAUUUGUACAAUAUGAAAGUGAAAAAAUAUAUAUACCGAUAAUUUUAAUCAAAAUCAAAACAAUUUUAAUCAAAAUUCCAUAAAAAAGUACGGUUUAAAAUUUAUAUGCAUUAACGAAAUAAAAAGAGCACAGAGUACCCGUAUGAACACUGACUUUAUAUAUUUUUAGGAUUAAAUAUAUUACAUAUUCAAACUUUUUGUUUUAAUUUUUAUUAAAAAUUUCUUAUUCUUUUAGUCCUACAAAAUUUAUUCGUCAACUCUUCAAAUUUUUCAAUGAAUUUUUGCAUAUAUAUNNNNNNNNNNNNNNNNNNNNNNNNNNNNNNNNNNNNNNNNNNNNNNNNNNNNNNNNNNNNNNNNNNNNNNNNNNNNNNNNNNNNNNNNNNNNNNNNNNNNNNNNNNNNNNNNNNNNNNNNNNNNNNNNNNNNNNNNNNNNNNNNNNNNNNNNNNNNNNNNNNNNNNNNNNNNNNNNNNNNNNNNNNNNNNNNNNNNNNNNNNNNNNUUUUUCUUUUAUCUCAUUUAGGUAUGGACACAAUGGAGUGAAGACAAUAUUUUGUCUCUAAUAGAUCAAGAAAUAUAUGAUCAUAGUCAUCAUAAUUAUAUUUCAAGGUGCAUACAUAUAGGACUAUUGUGUGCACAAGAACUUGCCAAAGAUAGGCCCACUAUGGCUGCAGUAAUUUCUAUGCUUAACAGUGAAACUUCAUUACUUCCUCCUCCUAGUAAACCUGCAUUCAUCCUGAGGGAGAAUAUGUUAAAUUCAAAGUUAGCUGAAGAAUGUCAAAAUGGUUGUUCCGUCAAUAAUGUCAGUAUUACAGACAUCAGUGGCAGAUAGCACACAAAGUGGUCAUCAUAAUCUGGUUCAGCAUUUGACGUCUAAAGUUUCCUCCAAAAAUAAAAAAAUUAGUCUAGCCAAUAUAAAGGGAAUAAUAUUUUUAGCACAACACCUCGACUCUCGACAGAUUCUUUGGGUCAGCCCUUGACACCAGUAGCGGCUGACCUUCAGGCUAGUGGUUCGAUAUCUAUCCUUACUCAUCUUCGUAGCAACACCCUUAGCUCAGGCGCCUCCAAUGCAACAUUGAUGCCACUUUUUCAGGUCAGUUGAACUGUGCAUGUAGUGGCAUGUGCUUACGCGACGGAGACUGUGCUUUUGUUUUGGCUAGACCUAUGUGCUUUACUCGUUUGUGUUCUGUGGACGUCAGUGAAGCAUUGAGAUUAUUCCAUGCUUUAGAAUGACUUAGUGAUAUGGAGUUUGAUUGCGUGGAGUUCGUGCUCGACUCCAAAAUAACUACGUAUGGUUUGGCAAUAUUAUCUUACUUUGCUUCAAGGAAUAUUUUUGCUUCUCACUUCACAAACUCUCGGGUGGAGUUAAAUAGGAGAUAAGCGAAUACGGUUGCUCACGCCCUUGCAGCACAUUAUCUGCUACUCCCACGACUUAUUUUGAAAUACCCUCGUGUUUUGAUACUCUUACUAUUUAUGAAAUGGUAUAAGCAUAUUUCUUCAAAAAACCAUAUAACAUUCUUAUAGGAAUUUAUUAUAGUUGCAAUGUUGUUGUUGUCGUUGUAAAAUAUAAGUAUAAUUUAUAUGAAAGUGCAAAAUAUCUAUACCUAUAAUUUUAAUCAAAAUCAAAAACAAUUUUAAUCAAAAUUCCAUAAAAAAUAUUAUUUGUAAUUUAUACGCAUUAACGAAAUAAAAAGAGCAGACAUACUAGCAUAGAGUGUGUCCGUCCGAACGCUGACUUUAUAUAUUUUUAGGAUUAAAUACAUUUUUCGUCUGUAUAAAUAUUCAAACUUUUUGUUUUAAUUUUUAUUAAAAAUUUCUUAUUCUUUUAGUCCUACAAAAUUUAUUCGUCAACUCUUCAAAUUUUUCAAUGAAUUUUUGCAUAUAUAUUCUAAAUGAGUGAAUAGACUAUUUCGUCUUCAAAUUUGUAUGCAUUGGUCAUUUUCAUUCUCAAAUUUUUUGAAAUAGCCAAUACGUCCUUGAAUUAGCCAUCUUCUCAUCCUAAAAAUAAUUUUUUUUACUUUUAUUGUUUAGUGAUUCUCUUUUAAUUAGAUAUAUUUCUUAGUGAUUAUGUUUUAAUUCUAUAAGAUUGUUUCUUUACAUUUUAAGAAGUUUCAUUUUGAUCAAUAAGAUAUCUGAUAAAAUAUGAUUUCAAGCUCUUUGAUGGACCUUUCAGCCACUAAGUUCAUGUUUUCAAAGUAGAUGGUUAGGUCUUAAUGUUGCGAAUGAUUCUGUUUUGUAAUAACUGGAACCUCUAUAGUAUGCUUCCUUGCUUCUUGAAUCUAUGAACAAUAUUUCUAUUUUGCUUAUGUUCUGGUAUUUGUCUUUAUUUUCUCAAGUCUUUACUAUGCUUUUAUUACUCUAUACUAAAAUCUAUUUAUUCUCUUCUUUUUAGUUUAUAAACAUGUGAAUUUGACAGUUUAUCGUUUUAUAAAAGAAUGUGUCUAAGAGGCUAGCCUUUUCCAACACUGACGUGUUGCAACUAGUCACAAUCCCAAUAAGUUGUAUUAACUAGUCACAAUUCGAAUAAGUUGUAUUUUUCACUAAUUAUCCACAAAUGCAGUUUCUCGACAUUCUUUUAAUUUUACUCUCUUCGUCCCAAAUUAUAGUUGCUUUGGAGAAAAAACUUGUCUCAAAUUAUGAGUCGUUUUACAAUACAAAUGAAGCAUUAAAUCCUACUUUUUCUACUAUAUCCUCAACUAUUUAUUACUACCACUUCUUUCAAUUUUUAAUUUAUCUUUUCACAUAUCAUUAAUGAAGGAUAAUUUUGUAAAAUUACUUAGAAUUUCUCUUUCGCAGACAACAUUAAUUAUGUUUUUUAAUUUAUGUAAAAUAUCUAAAACAUCAUUUAAUUUGGGACGGAUGAAGUAUCAUUAUUUGACAGUAUCGCUGAUUAAAUUAAUAAAUAAGAUAAAUAAUUCAGAGACCGUUUCGUGUAACAAUUUGUAAUAACUUUUGUUUUAAACAAAAAAACAAAAAAAAAAAAGACAUUUUUUUGAUCAAAUUCGUCCCUCACGUGGAAGUUGACUUGAAACUCCACAUCAACGUUUAACGUGUUAUGUCCGCAUUAAGGCUGUGUUUGGCUAGGAAAAGAAAGUGAAAGUGAAAGUGAAAGGAAAGAAACAAAAAGGAAAGAUAGAGUAAGGAAAGAUAGUGAGUAGAAAGAGAGAUGAUUGUUUUAGUUGUUUGGAAUGAGAGAAAAUGAAAGGAAAGAAAGAUUAAAACUUUCUCUCCCCUUGCAUGGUUCAUUAGAAAGUUGAAAGGAAAGAAAAGUAUAUAUUUAUGAAAUGACAAAAAUAUCCUCAAGUAAAAAAUAAAAUGGUAUAAAGAAUAAAAUUGGAAAGCAAAAUAGUAAAAUUAUGAACAGUUCCUUUAACAAAUAAAUAUACACUUAAGCAUCAUUUUAUCUUCCUAUUUAGUUUUUAUUAAAGUUAUGUAAGCUUAUUAUUAUCCAAAAAAAAAUUACCUUUUGAAGUUCAAAUUCUACUAUAAAUAUCAAGUUUGAUGGACUAAUAUUGAAGCAACUUCAUUCUACUAUAAAUAUUGAUUUUGAGUAGUAAUUCAUACAUGGCCAAUGUCAUUACACUUCCUAGUGCAAAUUCAACACAAGUUCAAGAUCAAAGUUCUUUGACUAAACUACCACAAAACUGCAAAUUUGUGGACAUUGAACUUCUCUACAUUUGUGUUGAUAAUACCAAUCCUCAUUUUUCCUUUAGCACCUUGUCAUGGAUCUACAAUCAUAACCACUGCCUAAGAUUCAAAGCCCUGCAUGACACAAUGCAUAUGUAUGAGCAAGUUAUUUGUAACUACUAAAAAGAACAAAAAUAAUAGUAGUGAAUGUUGAAUUUAAUUUUAACUAGAAGGCCAUAUUUUUUUAAUCAGCAAUUUUAUUUAAUACUCCCUAUCAAAGAUAGCAGCUAUAAAAAAAAAAAAAAAAAAGUGUCAUGAACCCACUAUAAAGCUGAUGCCAUAUUCUAUGACAUAUCCCACAAGGUCAUGUGCAACAAGAAGAGAAUCAAUUUGAUUAUACCAAGCUGGAUAAUUGGAAGAGUUAAGUUUGAUGGGAAGGUGAGUGGAGGUAUUGAAUUCCAAUAAUUCAUUUGGUUCUUUGGUAACAGUGGCCGUGUAACGCCCUAUUUUAUUAUUUAUUUAUUUUAUUGAGUUUAGAUGUCUUUUUAUAAUUUAGUCGAUUUUUUUUUAUAAGUGAUAUUUUGUUAUGAUAUAUGUUGGUAUUUAUUAGUAUAAUAUAUAUGUUAUUUGAUGUAGAAAUAAAUAUAUUUGUUAUUUGGUGUAGAAAUAUAUAUGUUAUCUGGUGUAAAAAUAUAUUUGUUAUUUGUUAUAGAAAUAUUAUAUAUAUAUAUAUAUAUAUAUAUAUAUAUAUAUAUAUAUAUAUAUAUAUAUAUAUAUAUAUAUAUAUAUAUUAAAAUAUAAUAUUGAGACUUUGAUGACAGAUUUGAAAAUAAGAGAAAAUAAGUAGGUUAAGGAUUUAUAUAAAAAUGGGAGAGUUAAAAUUAGAAAAUAGGGAUUACGUGAAACCUAUUUUUGGAGAAAAAGGGAGAACACCAAGAGAAGAGAAAAGUCAGAGGAGAGAAAGCGGUCGAUCAAUCUAAGGUAAGGGUAGGACUAGCUUUCUCUAAUAAUGAGUUGUAUAAUUCUGAAAAAGGGUUUAACAUUGUAGUUGUUAUUAGUUUUAAUGUUAUAGAAAUUAGGAUUAGAUUUCAUUCAUUCAUAAUCUUUUGUAUAAUCUAUUUUUCUACUUCUACCCAUAAGUGCCUAUUUGUAUAAAGUGAUUAUUGUGGAUUUAAUUAGUGAAAUUUGUGCUUAUGUUUUGAUGCAAUGUUUGAGGUAUGUGAAUUUGAUGUUAAUUAAGCUGUUGAUGAUGAAUUUAUAUGCUCAAGUUAUGUAUAUAUGUAUACUUGUGUUUUUGCUCAAAAUUGGUGAAGUAUGAUGUUGUUUUUUAUGAUUUUUUAAAAUAAUGUUUUGGGUCAAGUUUUUGGUGAAGUAUAAUCUCUUUAGACAAACUUUGGGAUCAAAUUUAGGCAUAGGGAAGUUAAAAUUGGAAUUUUGGGGUGAAAAAUGGGUUUUUCCCGAGUUGCUCUCUGACAGUAGACCCUGUUUCAUGUUCUUGCGUCUUUUUCACAUGUUUCUGUUUUGAAUUGGCCUUUGGUGUAAACGUGAUAAUUGUAUUAGCUUUCCAGUGGUUUUGGUUUGACGUGAAAAUGAUUUUUGGUUUUUGAGUUAUGAUGAAAAUACUCCAAUGAGGUCUUAGUAAAAUUUUACGAAAAUUCCGCAUAACUAUUUCUAAGUCAACCCAAAAUUUAUGGAUUGUCUCCAAACUUCAAAGCUUUUGUACUAUGAGUUCAAUUAAGAUGUUUAAGAGUAUUUAACCUAUGUUGUGAUGAAUCUAUCUUGGUUUGACAUAAAUAUCUUUGAUUGAUGAAUUAUUAUAUGAAUGUAUAUGUUGAUGAGUAUGAUGUUAUAUGAUGUUGUUCAUGAUUGAUGAAUUAUUAUAUUAAUGUAUAUGUUGAUGAACAUGAUAUUAUAUGAUGUUGUUCAUAAUUAAUGAAUUACUAUAUGAAUGUAUAUGUUGAUAAAUAUGAUGAUGUUGUUAAUGAAUUAUUCUAUGAAUAUAUAUGUUGAUAAAUAUGAUGUUAUAUGAUGUUGUUAAUGCUUGACGAAUUAUUAUAUGAAUGUAGAUGUUGAUGAAUAUGAUGUUCUUCAUAAUUAAUGAAUUGUUAUAUGAAUGUAUAUGUUGAUAAAUAUGAUGUUAUGUGAUGUUGUUCAUAAUUAAUGAAUUACUAUAUGAAUGUAUAAAUUGAUGAAUUAUGAUAUUAUGAUGCAAAUUUGUUGUUCAUAUCAUUCAAGUUUGUUGUGAUUAAUGUUGCUAUGUUGCAAGUUGUUGUCAAAUGUCGCCAAGUUGUAAGUUGUUGUAUUAAGUUGUUGAAUUCGUCUAAGUUGUCGAAGCUGUCUAAGUUGUUUAAGUUGUUGGUUGUUGAGUCCAUGAAUACUCAUUAAAAGUUGAGAGCUUGAUGCUCUGAAAUGUAUAAUUAUACAUAUUAAGUUGAGGGUUUGAUGAUCUAUGACCCUAUUUAUGCUCUAUACAUUGAGGGCUUGAUGCUCUGUAAGUUGAGGGUUUGAUGCACUGUGAGCCUAUUUAUGCUCUAUACGUUGGGGACUUGAUGCCCUGAUUUGUACCACAUGCAUGAUUAAGAAGUUGUAGUUGCAUUGUCAAGAUGAUUAAGAUGUCUAAGUCGCAUGGUCGAGUUGAUGUCGAUGUCGUUGCAUUGUCGUUGUUGUCAAGUUUUCGAUUACUAAUGAGUUGUUAAUGAGAAACUAUGUGAAUUAUCAAUAUUAUUUAUUGUUGUUGUUUAUGUUGUUUACGUGAAUCAUUGUUGAUGAUGAUUUGAAGUUGAUUGAUGAUUUAUAGUUUGAAUUAUGUGAGGCAUUAACAUUGUUUAAUUGUUGUUGUUUAUGUAGAUAAAUUUUCUCACUUAGAUUUGUUUAUUAGUUUUACUAAUGAUGAAUAAAUGUUGUUAUGUGUUGUUAAAUUUUUCAAAGAAUUAUAUGCUUAAUAUUAUUGAAUGUGAAAUCUCACCCCUUCUGCUUAGAAACUGUUGCCUUUGCAUGGGUAACUUGCAGGUAACCAGGAUUAGCUGUUGAUGUGAGUUGACUCUCUCACGCGUCGUCUUAGGGUCGCUCUGAUACGUAACGGGAUGGGGAUAUUUGUAUUUUUUUCCAUUUGUUACGUAUUAUUAUGAAUUAUGUUGAUGAACCAAUUGAAUGAAAUUUUAAUAAGUUGUUUAUGUUGAGGCCGUUGUGCCAUUACGUUGAAUAAGAAAUGUUUUCCGCUGCGAUGUAAUUUAAAUUAUUGAUAAAAGAUAUUUUGAAUAAAUAGUAAUUUUACUCUAUUUAUAUUUUAAAGUUGUGUGACAUCCUAUUUAGUUGAUUACUCUGAUGUUUAUGCAAAAAUUUUAAAGUUGGAAAAACAGGGUGUUACAGGCUGCACGAAGCAAAAGCACACCCGCUGAACCUAACCAACAGACCCCAAAAAACCACCCUCAAGUGAGCAGCAAAACGCAGCUGCUUAUGGAACAAUGCACAACAGAGAAAUCUACUUAUGUUACAACAAAACAGGAAAAUAAUUUCUACACCAAAAUAGCAGCAGCUCCGCACUCCUGUCAUAACCGUCCGAACAGUAGCCACCAAAGGCCGCUAUAAACAACGUCAAUCUAUUACCUCAUCAAAUAAUCUCGUGGACACCAACACCACUCGUAGAAAAUACAAGCUGGAUUGUUGAAUCUACCUAACAACCACCUUCAAGACAUUACUUUUAGUCAAAGAACUUUGAUUUUGACUUGAUAGUUAAGGUAAUGCACAAUCUAUACCAUAUAGCAGCUUUGUUGUAUAGACAAUUUAGUCAAAUACUAUGAAUUCUAAGGUAAUUCACUGUCUAUACCAUAUACCAUCAGUUAAAAAAACAGACUGCAUCAUCCAAGUUUGGCAGCAACAAAAAACUCCAGCAUAAAAACAGAAAAAUAAAACACAAUGCUACAGGUCCGUCGUAGCAUCAUAAACACAGUGAUAAAGAUCAAUUAUUUGCAAUUCAAAUAGUAAUAUAAUGAAAUGAGCAUUGGUUGCCAAUUUUUUUUGGAUCAAUACUGGUUGCCAAUUGAUCAUAUAUUCCACCUUAAUAGUAAGUUCAAUAAGCAAGUAAAUGGUUUUCUUCAAUUAACAUAGAUAGCAUAUCAUAUUUAUCAUAGUAGAUGUAUCCUUUGGAGUGCAUACAACCUUGCACCAAAGUGUGUAGAAGGUACAUCCCUACUAGAAUGUUGGACAAGAAAUUCAUCUUCUAAUGAGAUGAUGGCUCGUAAAACAUUGUGAAAGUGACGGCUGACAGUUUCACCGGAACGGUGGAAAAAGAAUGACACAAUACGAUUUUUCACAUUAUGACCAAUGAUGUGUAGAAAUUUAGCAGCUUGCUCUUUAACUGUGAAUCGUAUUGUAUCCUUCACAAUACCAGUUCCUCUCAAUUUAUGACACAACAACAUGAAUGCCUCAGGUCCCAUUCGUAUUAUGUCGCUGCAUUUUUCAGUUUCUACUAGUUGUCUCAUUAAAUCAAUAUGCCUACGCUCUCUCUCAUGACUUCCAUGACUAAUAGGAUUACGCCAACGUGACAUUAUGUUAAGCAUGUGUAAGGUAUGAACAAUAUAACACAAUAUAGGACCACAAAAUAAAGAUGUUGUUGCCUUUCGAAUCGAUGUCGAAAUUGACAUAAAUUUAACAUGCCAAGAUUAGUCGAAGGUUUUAUUUUAGAAUGUACUUCUUUUAUACCAUGAGAUUCAUCACCAGACUUAUCUUCCUCAUUAAUAAAAGAAUCCAUGUCACAAAGUGGAAUGUUAACCUUCAAUCAGAGUAUAAAAUCAAUUGAUGAAACAAAUAAUUUGACAUUAGAAAAUCCCUAAAUAAUUCCCUCACAAAUCAAAAGAUUUGGAGAGUUUAGAAUUUAAUUUGUAAUAUUUUGUAACAAACAAUCAUAAGUAGUGCAAUUAAGAGUUGAUAUAUUUAAAGGGGAAAAAACACACAUAUUUAACUUUUAAAUGAUUUUUAUGUAGAAAUAAUUUUUUUAACACUUGAUUUACGAGUUAAAGACUCUUGAUGCUAUACACAAGUUUUCCAUAAUGCAUAUUUAUCUCCCCUGCAAUCUCUAUUAAAACAAGAAUCUAGAGUUCAUUUUGUUUUUAGAUAAACAAAUCACUUUAUUAAGAAAAAUCAUCCAGCUUAGCAUAAACAGAUAGCAUCAUCACACACAUACCAAACAAUUGAAAGAAAAAACACUCAUAACCUAAGAACACACAAAAUCACUACCUAAAGACAAUAACACAUGACAGAUGACAAAAUAUCAACUCCAACUAUGUUGCAGCCAACAAACUGCAUAGCGUUCUGGUGUCUGCAGUGGCAGCCCUGCUGCUGUUAUAUGUUUUGCAGUUGUUUGCUAUCAUAUAUGUUUUAGGUGUGAUUGAGGCAGCUGGCUUUUUUAUGGUGUGUUUUUAAUUGUUUGGUUAGGUGCAGCUGCGUUGGUUUUGUAUGUUUAGCUGUGUAGUGUGGUCACUAGAUUGCAAUUGUGGUCUCUAUCCCUGAACUCUCAUACGAUGGGGUUUGUUUUGUUUCUUUUCAGCUACUUUCUUCUCUUAUUGAGAGUUUGGAAGCUUAAAUAAUAUUGGCUUUUCAAAAAAAAAAAGUAGGAUCAAACUUUCUUCAUUUCGUAAAUGAAAUCCUUAACACCCAUCACUCAGAUUCAUUUGAGUCUUUUAAGCCAAUUGAUGUCCCAAACAUCAGCCUCAUCUCUAACAAUGAAAUCCUUAACACACAACCUAUAUCUGCAGCUCCCGGCUUCCCUUUCAACGAUCCAUCCACAUUCCAUUACCAAACAUUUUGUGGAGGGGGACACCAUAUUGCUGACAAUCUAUUUCCAUGUUUUAAUCUCUUGAAUUUUAUACAAAUGGACCACGUGAUACACAUAUUCUAUGAAAGGUUUGAGACUUGAGAGACCACCUACCUAAUCCCCAACACGACAUCACAUUGGUAUCAGGCUGCCAUGACAACUUCUGAUAACACACUAGAACACUACCUAUAACAAAUCUUAGGCCUAAAAACAUUCAUAACCCCAUUCUAAGUUUGAUUAAAAAAACUCCAAAACAACAACAAUGUCUUGUUUUAUGUUGCCUUCCCAACAUCCAUAAUUUACCCAAACUGAAACCAACAUGACUUAAUAUACCCAAAUUGAAGGGGAAAAAAGUAAAAAAAAAUAGUCACCUAAAUCAGAUUUUCUAUGAAACCUAGAACACAAAUUAUUUUUUCUCACUUCAUCCGAAAAGCAUUUCAAAGUAUAAUAAAAUGAGGGGAGAAAACAUACAAGGAAUAAAAUUUCAUCAAAACAAAAUAAAUCUCAUGCAUAGAAGAUAAUGAAAAAAAAAACAUACUUAAUUCAAAAUCAAAAUUUUCAAUAAAUAAAGGAAUACCUAAAUGGAAGGGGAAAAAACACAUGAAAAAGAAGAGAGUUAGAAAAGUACCUUACAAAACAAUGAGGUCAAGAUUGAUAGCAAAGAAAAAUGGAGGCAGUGCAACAAUUUGGAUUAAGCAGAUGGCAGAGAAGAAACCAUUGAAAGAGAAAAUAGUGAACCCUCUUCUUUGUUAAAUGGGAGAAGCUACGAUUAUAUUUAAUUAUUGUAUUAGGGGCACUUUUGUCUUUUUGCUCAAAAAUUGAGUCCAUUCUCCCACUUUCAGUCCAAUUGAGCGUGGAAAGGAUUUUUUGGUGGGCCCCAACCAAAACUUUCUUUCCUUGACCUUUUUAUAUUUGUUCAAAACCAUGGAAACACAAUCCUUCCAUCCUCUUUACCUCCCUUCACUAUCUUUCCUUUAUCUCUCACCGGAAACAAACACAGCCUAAGAGAUGAAAUUGAUUGAUGCGUACAAAUUUGGGAACGAAAUAACUAUUUAAUUUAUUUUAGAUAAUCAAAUUUAAAUAUGAAUUUUUAAAGUCAAAAUCAUAAAAAUUAUGGAGAAGGUUAGAACAGAACUUCACUUUUUUUUUUCUUUUUUUUUUUCUUUAUCCCUUCGUGUUACUGUGCCCAACAACACUGAAAAACCGAAAUUUUCCUUCCUCCACAGUUUGACACUUCUACUGCUUUAACAAUGACGACGGGUAGAGCACUCAACAAACACGAUCGUACUUAUUUAUAUAAGCUUUGUUCAAUAGCUUACCAACAUGUGAUGAACUUUUUCUAUAAGUUCUUCCGAAUAAGUGCUUAAGAUAAGAGCAUGUUUGGAUAAACAACUUAUUUGUAGCUUAUAACACAAUAAAUGCUUAUGUACAUGCUUGCAUAAGCUAUAUUUUUAUAGCAAAAGAUAAAAUAAUGUUAAAUUGUUUUUGUAAUUGCUAUAAGUUGUUUUACUAAGCUGUAUUGGAGAAUAUAUGAAAAUAAAUUGAAAAAAGCUGUUGUCAUAAGUUCUCCCAAACAGUUUCACAAAACUACGAGUAGAUAAGCUCAAAUAAACCGGUCGAAAGAGGCCCUUGUUAUACCGUUGUAACUGUGUUUAUCAAUCGAAAUAUGCUUCAAGGAUGGUUGAAAAUGUUGUCAAGGAAGGAUAGAUAAAUGGUUUGUAAGGCUCAUUGAAGAAGAGUAGGGAAAUUUUCACAAGGUAAAACUGUCUAUAAAAUGGUUGUUUUGCAAUAUUUUGUUUACAGUUUAUUCUAUUAAGCAAGUGAGUUUAUAACCUGCUGUAGCAAGUCAAACCUGCAGUGCACGUACGGUGUUGUGCACCCUUGUUUCCAUCUAUUCUGUCACUUUGUUUCAUGAAAAUGAUACCAUUUUUGUUUGAAUGAAUAGGUUAAUCGGUCCUCGACAUUUUGUGCAUCAAUCAAAAUUGUCUAUGUUUUACAAAUCGGCAUAUACGUUCCUAAAACUGGAAUGCGUUAGUCAAAAUGGUCCCUCUGUUACCUUCUGUUGUUAGAGGUUAUGUCGUAACUCUUUGAAUGGAAAUGUGACCUUUAACAGGGAUCACACAUCAAUAGAAACUUAUGUGGUACAUUAAAUUCAUCCAUUUCACGCCAAUUGUGAGUUUACAACCUCAGGAUUCAAAAACAUAAAAUAAUAUUUACCACAUAAAUUUUAUGUACAGUUUUAGUCUCUCUUGAUGUAGAAUUGAU
rnacentral:lncRNA from 1 species